CCCAGCUUGUCAUGCUCGAGCACUUUUUCAAUGUGCUCCCCAACGAGAAGGCGACUACGCAUUCGUAUGUCAAUCCAUAUCAACUUUCGAUGCCAUUGACUGCGCCUACCAUGGUGACCACGGGUAACGGGGAAUCAGGCUUCGAUUCCGUACAGGGACCCUGACAAACGGCUUACACAUGCAAGCAAGGCAGCAGGCGCGCAAAUGACCCACUCCCGAUGCGGGAAGGUAGUGACG